UGGUUUAACUCACCUGGAUCCAGUGAUGGCUCAUUAGAGGCCUAAGAUGAGCACUGAAAUGCUGAGGAGGUUGUUUCUACCACCAGGGAGGGAACUAAAACACGCAGGAUGCCGGCCCUCGAGGACAAACUUUGGGCACCCCUCCUUUACAGCUGUGGAUGCAAAAAUCCACCGGAGUGAAACUCUUGACUCCCCCCGGCUCCCAGAAAAAGAAAACCGAGUGCAAACAUUCAUAUCGAGGACAUCCUCCUCCUCCCUCUGAUCUCUUUAAAGGCUGUUUUUGUUGGCUCUGCCCUCAACUGAAACAUCUCCCCCAUCAGGUUAGUUCCACUCAUUGGAAUCACAUGUUGGAGUCAUUCACUCGUUCCAGUGCGUCGUUGAAGGCAAAGGCAUUCAAAGAUGUCCUCCCUUUGGAUAAGUUUGAGUCUGUUGUAUCUCCUACCACACAGCGUUUCAUCAGAUGCAGCGGUGUCACUGACUUGCCCUGAGACAAAACCAGUACAAUCUGGUGCAACGGUUACAGUAAACUGUUCAAUAAAAUGGAAAAUGGAAAGCUGUAACGUUACAAAAUCCUUGAUUCACACAAAUGGCACCACCACUGAAUGUGGAAUUACCUCAGGAAUUUACUGGUGUGCCUGGGAUAACUCCAAUGUGACCCUAAAGAUCGUUGGCGUAAAAGAGGACAAUAUCACAGUUGAGAUUCACUCUAACUGUGGUUUGGCUUCUGACCGUAUCCAGGUGCAUGUCGACGAUACUCUGCUUGCAACACCAAAGUCACCACUUGAGAUCAACCAAGAAAAAGAGGCUCAGCCCUAUCUGAUUCCCAGCAUACUGGGUGUUCUUGCAAUCAUUAUUGUUGUGACCAUUGUGUUUAUUAUUAAAUAUUGUAAAACUCGGAAAAGGAAAUCACAGCAGAAUGACACAACACAAGGAUGCUCAGAAAUCCUUUUGGAAUCUCCAUAAGAAAUGAAAGAAAGUUUUCGUCCUUUCUUUCUUACAGAACUCUUUUGGACGGACAUUGGUCAGAUGGUGGCACGUCCACUGAUCUGAAACCGGGACUAUUAACUCUUUGUGAGUCAAUUAAUAAAGCUGCUGCUGGUGGCAGCUUUGUGUACAUGUAUUGUGUACAUAUCUGUGUGUACAGGCUCUUUAUCCAUAGAGUGAUUGAGUGCGGUCUUGCCGCUAUGACCAAAUUUAACACGGUUAAGUGUUAAUGUUUCGUAUAUGCAUACUGCAUUUGUUGUAAAUGAAAGGUAUUCCUCAUCGGACUGUUUUUAUUAUGAAUUUAUCUACUACUUCUUUUCAACAAGGGCCAUUUACCGUCUUGAGACACACAUUCAUUUAUUCAGUUUUCUUAAGGUGAUUCACACUAAUGAUCCACAUUAAAAUCUAAAUCUAUUCACGUUUGAUAUGUCAUCUAUGCCAUGUGAAAGCAGCUAUCAAUUUAUAGUGUACAUUGAAAUCCCAUUACAUUAACCUUGUCUGGAGGAUGUGGAGAUCAAUUGGGAAGGGAGUACCACCUGGCAAUUUCCUUGAUACCCAAGAAAUAUGAAGUUUGCAAUAAUGACCAAACAUCAGUUUGCAUCCAGUUUCUAUGGUAACCAGUGUUGGGUAGGUUAGAUUAAAUAAUUAACUGGAUCCCAGAAGAAAUGACCAAAAUUCAAGUGUGUCAGUGGUAUAACUAAUUCAAUUACUUUAACCAUGAUAUUUAAUUAAUUAUAUUUAGUUUAUUUUUGGGGUUUGUUAUAGGUGAGGGGGGCACUUCUACAGUAACUUCUACAGUUCUGCAAUGAUAUGUAGAGAUGGGAGCUUUGAUUAGACUAAAAACUUCAGGAUGUAUUUAUCAACGAGACAUUCACACAUCUUGGAAAUACUUAUUUAUCUUGAAGAAGCCAGUUUGGGAUAACUCACAUUAAUGAUGGCUGGGAAAAUGCAAAUCAUUACACCUUCUUUUUUACAACGCAUCUAUUCAGUGUAAAACCGUAUUCAAGCAAUUCUGCUUCCAUAGUGUUUUUGUGCAUGACAUCAUGACCUGUAUGUACAUUUUGAAAACCUUAUUUUAAACGAGGUCUGAUCAAUGAACAAGAGCUAAUUUGAGUUGGAGCUGUGAACUUAGACCAAAAUGUUGAACACUGGUGAACUGUGGACAUGAAUCAGUUCAUUUUAACCUGAGGGUACUUCAUUCAGAACCAGAUCUUUAUAAGAAUGAACUUGGAAUAAACUCAGCACAGCAAUGACAUGGAUAUCAUUUAUUUCAGAUGUCUGAAUAUGACAUCAUUCCACGUCUAAGUCAAAAAAGCACUGAGAUUUGCUAACUGUGUUACUGAAGGCUUACUAAUAUGCAAUACACACUAAUAUCAAUGUAUUUCUGUUUUUUUAUUAAAUUAAACACUAAUGUCGUUAUUUUGUGUAAACAUCACUAAAGUUAUUGUGUGUCUAUGGUAAAUUUGUAAAAACUAAUUAGAAAUAUAAAUAAACAGUUUUGAUAACUUUUGCUAUCUA